rnacentral:rRNA from 1 species
AUUGAACGCUGGCGGCAGGCUUAACACAUGCAAGUCGAGCGGGGAAAGGUAGCUUGCUACCUAACCUAGCGGCGGACGGGUGAGUAAUGCUUAGGAAUCUGCCUAUUAGUGGGGGACAACAUCUCGAAAGGGAUGCUAAUACCGCAUACGUCCUACGGGAGAAAGCAGGGGACCUUCGGGCCUUGCGCUAAUAGAUGAGCCUAAGUCGGAUUAGCUAGUUGGUGGGGUAAAGGCCUACCAAGGCGACGAUCUGUAGCGGGUCUGAGAGGAUGAUCCGCCACACUGGGACGGGGACACGGCCCAGACUCCUGCGGGAGGCAGCAGUGGGGAAUAUUGGAGAAUGGGGGGAACCGUGAUCCAGCCAUGCCGCGUGUGUGAAGAAGGCCUUUUGGUUGUAAAGCACUUUAAGCGAGGAGGAGGCUACCGAGAUUAAUACUCUUGGAUAGUGGACGUUACUCGCAGAAUAAGCACCGGCUAACUCUGUG